AUGAGCAUUGCUGUGAAUAAAACAGGAAGACCUAUUGCAUAUUUUUGUAGCUGGCCUGCAUAUGAAGGAGGAUUUCCACCAAAGGUGAUGGUAGGUAAUUUUGGCCAGGGUAAUGAGCAGUCAGAAGUUCCAUGGGCAGUUCUCACAGCACCUCACUUCCUAACCAAUGAGCUAAGCAAGGACACUUCCUGAGAGUGCAGAACAUAUCCUGAAAAAUGAGAUAUUGAUUUAUACAUAUCAAGAUGCUUCAGGGCUUCAAGGAAAGCAUAUCAUGAAGGUACUCAUUUGUCAACUCUCUUCUUUGAGAGAAGCUUUUAAUUCUUAACACUCUUAGUCUUUACAGUUUCCCUAAAGAAAAGAGUAUCAGAUUUUUUCCUGCCCUUUGGAAAUUAUCUUUUCCUAUGCCCAUUUAAUUUAUUGGAUUAUUUUAUUCUAUUUGAUUUUUUCUAUCUGUUGUCUUAAUUGUACAUUAUAAACACACAUUGGAGGUUAAGAUGAAAAAAAUUACACCUAUUACCUGAUCUAUUUGCUAAUAUAAUCUUUACAUCACUGUUGAAACUAGCUAACCCAUUAUCAUGAGCUUCAGCUGCUUACAUCAAGUCUUAAUUUUGUCAUUUUCUGUAACUAUAGCUGCACUGAUGAAUGUAAUACUAUAAGGUGUGUCUGAUACUGCCUUGGAAGACAGAGAAUGUCACUGCAUCCACUGUUAUCAUAAACCUCAGGAAGUGUUUUACUCAACAUACAAUGUUUGUUGUAGCUGUACUUUACAGCAGUAUGUUUUUGUUAGAUACAGUAUCUCGAUUUUUCAACUCGGUAGUCCUGUUUUUAUUUGCCUGUCUUUGUGUUUAGAGGUUAACUAGAACAGACAUUUAAUGCUGAAGAAUUCUAGUGUAACUGAAAAGAUGGAAUAUGGGUAAAAUUAACUGAUCUCUUUUUCAUCACAGGUUAUAUAUGAGGUUUAAAUCUGUCCAUAAAGAAGAUGGAGAGGGGAAAACAGUGGUUUGUAAUCCAAUUCAUUUAAAGAAUAGUGCUUUAGCAAAUAACAUGGGCAGAUGUGAGGAAUACCUCUCCUGUCUCAUUUUACCCCAGCGGAAUCCAGAUCACAUGCUCUGAGACAACUCUAUAAAAAGCACAAUACAUAGCUUACUUCUGAGCCAGACUAAAAUGCUAACACUUUGCCAGUUAGAUUGCU
rnacentral:lncRNA from 14 species